rnacentral:rRNA from 1 species
ACGGAAGGCAGCAGUGGGGGAUAUUGCACAAUGGAGUAAACUCUGAUGCAGCAACGCCGCGUGAGGGAAGAAGGUCUUCGGAUUGUAAACAUUGUCAUUCGUGACGAUAAUGACGGUAGCCGAUGAGGAAGCUCCAGCUAACUACGUGCAAGCAGCCGCGGUAAUACGUAGGGAGCGAGCGUUGUCCGGAAUUACUGGGUGUAAAGGGUGCGUAGGCGGGGAAGCAAGUCAGGCGUGAACACUAUCGGCUUAACUGAUAGACUGCGUUUGAAACUGUUUUUCUUGAGUGAAGUAGAGGUAGGCGGAAUUCCCAGUGUAGCGGGGAAAUGCGUAGAGAUUGGGAGGAACACCAGUGGUGAAGGCGGCCUGCUGGGCUUAAACUGACGCUGAGGCACGAAAGCAUGGGUAGCAAACAGGAUUAGAUACCCUGGUA